UAGUGCGCAACGUUGACGGACGCGCCGCGCGACAAUUCGCUAAGCAGCAUUACAACAACGACAACGGCAACGACAACGCGCUCGUGUCUUUUUAGCUCGUCUCUGUGUUAGUGAGAGUGUUAAGCGUAACGGUACUUCGAUUCAAUUUCAUAUGUGUGGCCAAUAAGUGCGGCCCCGGGGCAUUUAACGGCACGCGCCUGAAAGCAUGCAGCAACAAAUUCAAUACCCGGAGCACAUUUUGGACUCCAAAGGGAAUGUACGCUGCGCAGCGCCUGCAGCUAUGCAAUGGAAAAUGUAUUUUGCCACUCAGCCAAGGGCUGAACAAAUUGUUGCGCGUAAAUAUUUAACAGUCGCAAUGAAUUGCAUUUGCAGCAAUUGAAAGUAAGAGCGAGCAGCUAAAGAACACAUUUUCGCACAGAUAAAGAAAUAUGCGAGUCGAGCAAACAAACUAUGCAACGCGCAAACAUUGACAAAACCCAGCCAAACAAAAAA